AUGUCGGACGUUUACAAGAAAGCCAAGCCCGGCCGCCUCGUCUUCAAGGGCGGCGAGGCCGCCACCCUCCGCAAGCCCAAGAAGCAAAAGAAGAACAAGAAGCCCGCCGACGAUGUCCCCGCCGACGCCGACGCUGAAGCCUCCGCCGCUGCUGCUGCCGCUGCGGCCACGGAGGGCGCCGAAGCCGGCGGCGACUACACCAUCGACGCGGCGAAGCGGAUGAAGUACGAGGAGCUGUUCCCCGUGGAGACGAGGAAGUUCGGGUACGACCCGUCCAACGCCGCCCGCACCUCCCGCGACCGCACCGUCGAGCAGGCCCUCGACGACCGCGUGAGGAAGAAGGCCGACCGCUACUGCAAGUGAGGUGAUUAACUCAUCUUAGUUGUUUGCUGCUGUGAUGGACAGAAGGCUCACUUCAGUUGUUCUCAAUGUAUCAGAAGGUGCACCUUUGGACAACUGUUAGUCCAAUGGUGGCAUAUGUAAUAGAGCUAGUCUCUGCAGCGAUCAAGCAAUUCCUUUAUCUUGCAUGUUUUGUACUAGUAAACACAUGUGGUAUAAAUCUCAUGUUCACUCUCGGUUGUCCGUUUUGGUCAAUUGGAUAAAUGGUGUAUGCUUGGUACAUGCC
rnacentral:rRNA from 1 species